rnacentral:pre_miRNA from 1 species
GAAAUACUCCCUCCGUUCCAUAAUUCUUGUCUCAAAUUUUCCCAAAUAUGGAUGUAUCUAUUCCUAAAAAGCGUCUAGAUACAUGUAAUAUUUCGACAAGAAUUAUGGAACGGAGGGAGUAUGUC